UACGUAGGGUGCGAGCGUUAAUCGGAAUUACUGGGCGUAAAGCGUGCGCAGGCGGUUCGGGAUGUCUGAUGUGAAAGCCCCGGGCUCAACCUGGGAAUUGCAUUGGAAACUAGCGGGCUGGAGUGUGGCAGAGGGGGGUGGAAUUCCACGUGUAGCGGUGAAAUGCGUAGAUAUCAGGAGGAACACCGGCGGCGAAGGCGGCCCUCUGGAUCGUUGCUGACGCUGAGACGCGAAAGCGUGGGGAGCAAACAGG
rnacentral:rRNA from 1 species